CACGUAGGGCGCAAGCGUUGUCCGGAAUUAUUGGGCGUAAAGAGCUCGUAGGCGGACUGUCACGUCCGCUGUGAAAAGCUAGGGCUUAACCCUGGCCUUGCAGUGGAUACGGGCAGACUAGAGGUAGGUAGGGGAGAAUGGAAUUCCCGGUGUAGCGGUGAAAUGCGCAGAUAUCGGGAGGAACACCGGUGGCGAAGGCGGUUCUCUGGACGGCUAACUGACGCUGAGGCGCGAAGGCCAGGGGAGCAAACGGG
rnacentral:rRNA from 1 species